CCUACGGGAGGCAGCAGUGAGGAAUAUUGGUCAAUGGACGAGAGUCUGAACCAGCCAAGUAGCGUGAAGGAUGACUGCCCUAUGGGUUGUAAACUUCUUUUAUAUGGGAAUAAAAUGUUCCACGUGUGGGAUUUUGUAUGUACCAUAUGAAUAAGGAUCGGCUAACUCCGUGCCAGCAGCCGCGGUAUUACGGAGGAUCCGAGCGUUAUCCGGAUUUAUUGGGUUUAAAGGGAGCGUAGGUGGAUUGUUAAGUCAGUUGGGAAAGUUUGCGGCUUAACCGUAAAAUUGCAGUUGAAACUGGCAGUCUUGAGUACAGUAGAGGUGGGCGGAAUUCGUGGUGUAGCGGUGAAAUGCUUAGAUAUCACGAAGAACUCCGAUUGCGAAGGCAGCUCACUGGACUGCAACUGACACUGAGGCUCGAAAGUGUGGGUAUCAAACAGGAUUAGAUACCCGGGUAGUC
rnacentral:rRNA from 1 species